rnacentral:rRNA from 1 species
AUUGAACGCUGGCGGCAUGCCUUACACAUGCAAGUCGAACGGCAGCACGGGAGCAAUCCUGGUGGCGAGUGGCGAACGGGUGAGUAAUAUAUCGGAACGUGCCCAGUAGUGGGGGAUAACUGCUCGAAAGAGCAGCUAAUACCGCAUACGACCUGAGGGUGAAAGGGGGGGAUCGCAAGACCUCUCGCUAUUGGAGCGGCCGAUAUCAGAUUAGCUAGUUGGUGGGGUAAAGGCCUACCAAGGCAACGAUCUGUAGUUGGUCUGAGAGGACGACCAGCCACACUGGGACUGGAACACGGCCCAGACUCCUACGGGAGGCAGCAGUGGGGAAUUUUGGACAAUGGGCGCAAGCCUGAUCCAGCAAUGCCGCGUGCAGGAAGAAGGCCUUCGGGUUGUAAACUGCUUUUGUCAGGGAAGAAAUCCUCUAGGUUAAUACCCUUGGGGGGAUGACGGUACCCGAAGAAUAAGCACCGGCUAACUACGUGCCAGCCGCCGCGGUAACAC